rnacentral:tRNA from 1 species
GAUUUUUUAGUUUAAGAGGUUUAAAAUAUCUAGUUGUGGUUUAGAAGAUUUGAAAAAUUU